GUAAUCUCCACAAAAAUGAAGGUUCUACCACCAGAAGUCGAGGAAAUCCUCGCGAAAUUCCGUUUAAACCGUGAACAACUUCAAGAAAUCAGCGAAAAAGUGGAGCAACAAAUGAAAAUGGGUCUCGCAAAGACUCAAGGCUCAUCGAUUGCAAUGUUGCCGAGUUAUGUACCAGCGUUGCCAGAUGGAACAGGUAAAAAUGCAGAAAAAUGGAAAUUUAAUGAAAAAAUCUAAAAAAAAAACAUAAAAAAUCGUCGAUUUUAGCCAAUUUCGAAAAAUCCCAAAAAACAAAACUGAUAAAAUUAAUCAAACAUUUCUGAAAAUCGAGAAAAAAACCAUUGGAAUUUAAUUAGUUUAAUUAAUUAAAAAUCGUGAAAAUUUACUAAAAACGACAAAGAAAUUCAAAUUUUGCUUUGAAGAUUCAAAAGUUUUACGAAUUUUCAUGGAAAAUAGGUAAAAUUGAAAAAAAAAACUAAUUUUAAUUGUAAUUUUAUAGAAAAAUCUACGAAGUGGAUUAAAAACUCUAAAAAAAAUUGAUUUAAAUGUGAAAUUUCAGAAAUUUUGUUUAUUUUUGAUUUUUAUUGAAAAAAGCUGAAAAUCGAAAAAAAAAUUCAAAAAAUUGCGUAAAAAAUUAUAAAAAUAUAUUAAAUUCCUUGAAAAUCAGGAAAAAAGUCGAAAAAUUAAGUUAAGACUUACAAAGUUAGUGCAAGUUUAAAAAAUUCACUGAAGUUUGACAAAUUUUACAGAAAAUCGCGAAAAAAAUCGCUAAACAUUUGUUAAUGCAAUAAUUUUACUUAGUAAUUCCGAAAAAAAUCAUUAUUUUCAUGAAAAUUUGCCUAAAAUCUCAAUUUUUAAAGAAUUUCCUAAAAAUGUCAAAAAAAAAUCUGAAAAAUACUAUAAAAUUUAACAAAUUAAAAAACUAAAAUUCAGAAAACUUAAUUUUUAAAGGAAAAAUCAAAAACAUACAAAAAAUUCCAGAAACCGGAAAAUACGUGGCAAUCGAUUUGUCGGGAAAGAAUCUUCGAAUAAUGUUACUCACAAUGAACGGAGCCGGAACGACGCCCACGCAUGAAACAGUCAAUUAUAUAGUAGCUAAUCAUGUUAUGAAGGGAACCGGUGAUCAG
rnacentral:sRNA from 1 species